rnacentral:rRNA from 1 species
AACGAACGCUGGCGGCAUGCCUAACACAUGCAAGUCGAACGAGACCUUCGGGUCUAGUGGCGCACGGGUGCGUAACGCGUGGGAACCUGCCCUUAGGUUCGGAAUAACUCCCCGAAAGGGGUGCUAAUACCGGAUAAUGUCUUCGGACCAAAGAUUUAUCGCCUUUGGAUGGGCCCGCGUUGGAUUAGCUAGUUGGUAGGGCAAAAGCCUACCAAGGCGACGAUCCAUAGCUGGUCUGAGAGGAUGAUCAGCCACACUGGGACUGAGACACGGCCCAGACUCCUACGGGAGGCAGCAGUAGGGAAUAUUGGACAAUGGGCGAAAGCCUGAUCCAGCAAUGCCGCGUGAGUGAUGAAGGCCUUAGGGUUGUAAAGCUCUUUUACCCGGGAUGAUAAUGACAGUACCGGGAGAAUAAGCUCCGGCUAACUCCGUG